GGCUUUGUAGUCAAAUUUAUGAUAUUAAAUUGCAAGUUUAAAGGUGUAAUUAUACUAAAGCUU
rnacentral:tRNA from 1 species